rnacentral:rRNA from 1 species
AUUGAACGCUGGCGGCAGGCCUAACACAUGCAAGUCGAACGAGUGGCGGACGGGUGAGUCACGUCUGGGAAACUGCCUGAUGGAGGGGGAUAACUACUGGAAACGGUAGUUAAUACCGCAUACCAUCGGAUGUUCCCAGAUGGGAUUAGCUAGUAGGUGGGGUAAAGGCUUACCUAGGCGACGAUCCCUAGCUGGUCUGAGAGGAUGACCAGCCACACUGGAACUGAGACACGGUCCAGACUCCUACGGGAGGCAGCAGUGGGGAAUAUUGCACAAUGGGCGCAAGCCUGAUGCAGCCAUGCCGCGUGUAUGAAGAAGGCCUUCGGGUUGUAAAGUACUUUCAGCGGGGAGGCGUUACCCGCAGAAAAAGCACCGGCUAACUCCGUGCCAGCCGCCGCGGUAAUUC